rnacentral:rRNA from 1 species
GAUGAACGCUGGCGGCGUGCCUAAUACAUGCAAGUCGAGCGAACAGACGAGGAGCUUGCUCCUUUGACGUUAGCGGCGGACGGGUGAGUAACACGUGGGUAACCUACCUAUAAGACUGGGAUAACUUCGGGAAACCGGAGCUAAUACCGGAUAAUAUUUCGAACCGCAUGGUUCGAUAGUGAAAGAUGGCUUUGCUAUCACUUAUAGAUGGACCUGCGCCGUAUUAGCUAGUUGGUAAGGUAACGGCUUACCAAGGCAACGAUACGUAGCCGACCUGAGAGGGUGAUCGGCCACACUGGAACUGAGCCACGGUCCAGACUCCUACGGGAGGCAGCAGUAGGGAAUCUUCCGCAAUGGGCGAAAGCCUGACGGAGCAACGCCGCGUGAGUGAUGAAGGUCUUCGGAUCGUAAAACUCUGUUAUUAGGGAAGAACAAACGUGUAAGUAACUGUGCACGUCUUGGCGGUACCUAAUCAGAAAGCCACGGCUAACUACGUG